UAAGGUCACGGCGAGACGAGCCGUUUGUAUCAACAUUAUAGGUGCCGAGUGUAAGUGCGGCGAUGCAUGCAGCUGAGGCAUACUAAAAGACCGAUAUAUUUUAAC
rnacentral:rRNA from 1 species